UGGGGAAUAUUGGACAAUGGGCGGAAGCCUGAUCCAGCAACGCCGCGUGAGGGAUGACGGCCUUCGGGUUGUAAACCUCUUUCAGCACAGACGAAGCGCAAGUGACGGUAUGUGCAGAAGAAGGACCGGCCAACUACGUGCCAGCAGCCGCGGUAAUACGUAGGGUCCGAGCGUUGUCCGGAAUUAUUGGGCGUAAAGGGCUCGUAGGCGGUUUGUCGCGUCGGGAGUGAAAUCACCGGGCUUAACUCGGUGCUUGCUUUCGAUACGGGCAGACUAGAGGCAUGCAGGGGAGAACGGAAUUCCUGGUGUAGCGGUGAAAUGCGCAGAUAUCAGGAGGAACACCGGUGGCGAAGGCGGUUCUCUGGGCAUGUCCUGACGCUGAGGAGCGAAAGUGUGGGGAGCGAACA
rnacentral:rRNA from 1 species